AAAACCCUUGCCACUUGCUUUUUUUUUUUUUUUCCUCCUCCUUCUCUCUCUUUCUCCCCGGCCGCACGACCUUGUCACUUUCUCUCUCUUGUCGCUCUCUGCAACGCCGAAAUUCAUGGCGUCCGGCCACCUUUUGGCUACACCACCACCACCAAUCGACUCUAGACCCAAGCCCGACCGAAACCCAAGAGAAAUUAUAGCCAAGUAUCAACCCCAACCUUCACAUCUGAUUUCUAAAAUUUUGAACCUCUAUUCAUCAUUUCCUCUUGAGUUCCGGCCAUUUCUUUAGCUCGCUGCCGCCUCACACGAACUCAGAGCAAGCUGGUAUCAACACUGCAAGCCCGUCACCCACCGAUACCGGAAUACCCCAGAUGCACCCUCACCGGAGUCGUCGGCUCUGGGUUUAUUCAAUCUCCAAGUUCUAGUUUAAAUUGCGCAAGACCACCUCCAAGGAUGGAAUUAGCUCGUUCUUGUCCACCAAAACCCCAUGGUUUCAACCUUCGGUUCUGGCCAAAACCACCCUUUGCGCCUCGUGCGCCGCCGCUGACGCCUGGAUCACCGCAGCUCCGCCGCCGGAUUUCUACGCUGCUCAAGUAGGUAAUUUCGUACCAAUUCCUUGGUGAAGUCUCCAACUCGUUUUGGACCAGGGACCCUAACCUAUUGUUGUUUAAAUUGGCUUUUGAGGUUUGUGGAAUUUUGAGAGUUGGGAGUUUCAGACAAGGAGAGGAUGAUUGGGUCAGUUUUGACAGAAACUGACCAUGGACAUUGGGUGACCGAUGGUGGAGGAAUGCUGUUUUGGCGAAUCGAGUCUUGGUUUGGAAAAGAAGAAUGGUAAAAAUCUCGGGGUUGGAUAUGUUUUGCUUUGUGUUAGUGUACUAGUGAAGAUAUAAUUUUGGGAAUUAUUGAAUUGGAA